AGACAAAGAGCUAAGUAAGCUAAGAAACAGAAAACCCAAGAGACCCCAAGACCUAAGGAAGAGACUUAAGCAGAGAAACCUCCAAGAAAGCAAACACCCCGGAAACCUAAGGCCAGAGAAAGGCUUGAACCCAGAGGACUCCAGGGAGCAGGCAGGGACCCAGACGAAAUGGGUUAAUCGCACAGCUCAGACAUUCACAUUUCUGAUACCUUAUUUUCUUUAUUUACCAUCGAGAGUCUAGUUAGGUUUAGUGCCUCGCAAACCAGUAGUCAUCACGACUGGCCCGCUGCCACUUUAACUUAAAACGACCGACUCCACCCCACUUCAAGACUCUCGAGGACCAAGAACAACCAGCCAGCCACGUGCUCAACAAAGAGAGCUUCUUCACAUCACGGAGUAAUGACUGGACCCAUCCUCCUCCUGAAAGGGACGACCCUUCUCCCGCGUGCCCAAGUGAAACAGGAAGGUGAACACAGCUCCGAUUCCCACUACGAUAAGACUCAGAUUCUGAGGGUGAAGAAAUAUUCCUGCAUGAAGCUUAUUAGAGGCAUUAAGAUCAGUGUAUUAUGACAAUCUAGGUAAAUGUCAACAGAAAUCGAAAAGGCUAAUCUAUAAAAAAAAAAAAAACUUGUUCUCUAUACACAUUUAACAACAACACACCAGUUGCACAAGAUGACAGAUUUUGGUGUCUGCAUCAGAUUGACCUGAAAAAGGUAUGAGUGUAAAAUGGCAUAUUAAAUGCCAGUUUUGAAAUAUGUAGACUUUCAACAUCAAAAUAUAAUGCAAAACAGGCAACCAGUGUAGCAGAUAUAUUAAUGUAUAAAGGAAAAAAACAUGUUCUGAUUUGUACUAAUUUAAGAAAUAUAUAUAAAAUAUAAAGUGAUAAAAAUAAAAUGUUGCAACAUGUGACCAAAGACUAAAAAAUAAACAAGACAUGUCACUCCUGUAGUUUUGAAUGGGAAAAAGUGUAUAUGG
rnacentral:lncRNA from 1 species